rnacentral:rRNA from 1 species
CCCUUAGAUGUUCUGGGCCGCACGCGUGCUACACUGAGUGGAUCAGCGGGUCAGGUUGCGCGAAAGCGUUUCCUAAUCUUUAAAUCCGCUCGUGAUGGGGAUUGACGGUUGCAAUUUUCUGUCAUGAACGAGGAAUACCUUGUAAGCGCGGGUCAUCAUCCCGCGCUGAAUACGUCCCUGCCCUUUGUACACACCGCCCGUCGCUCCUACCGAUUGAGUGGUCCGGUGAGGCUUUGGGAUCUGAGCGGAAAGAGCGUCUCGCUGUUUCUGCCCGGAAAACUCAGUCGAACCUUAUCAUUUAGAGGAAGGAGAAGUCGUAACA